UUACUUGGAUAACUGUGGUAAUUCUAGAGCUAAUACAUGCAAACAGAGCUCCGACCGGAGACGGAAGGAGCGCUUUUAUUAGAUCAAAACCGAUCGGUGGUGGAUCCGUCUGCCAUCGUACAAUUUGGUGAAUCUGAAUAACUUUAAGCUGAUCGCACGGUCUCGCACCGGCGACGCAUCUUUCAAAUGUCUGCCUUAUCAACUGUCGAUGGUAGGUUCUGCGCCUACCAUGGUUGUAACGGGUAACGGGGAAUCAGGGUUCGAUUCCGGAGAGGGAGCCUGAGAAACGGCUACCACAUCCAAGGAAGGCAGCAGGCGCGCAAAUUACCCACUCCCGGCACGGGGAGGUAGUGACGAAAAAUAACGAUACGGGACUCAUCCGAGGCCCCGUAAUCGGAAUGAGUACACUCUAAACCCUUUAACGAGGAUCAAUUGGAGGGCAAGUCUGGUGCCAGCAGCCGCGGUAAUUCCAGCUCCAAUAGCGUAUAUUAAAGUUGUUGCGGUUAAAAAGCUCGUAGUCGAAUUUGUGUCUCGCACCGCCGGUUCAUCGUUCGCGGUGUUAACUGGCGUGCCGCGGGACGUCCUGCCGGUGGGCUUAGCUCGAGAGGGCGGCCCAAAUCAAUCCUGCCGCGGUGCUCUUCAUUGAGUGUCGAGGUGGGCCGGCACGUUUACUUUGAACAAAUUAGAGUGCUUAAAGCAGGCUAAAAUUUCGCCUGAAUACUGUGUGCAUGGAAUAAUGGAAUAGGACCUCGGUUCUAUUUUGUUGGUUUUCGGAACCCCGAGGUAAUGAUUAAUAGG
rnacentral:rRNA from 1 species